rnacentral:rRNA from 1 species
CCCUUAGAUGUUCUGGGCUGCACGCGUGCUACACUGAUAUUGCCAAUAUGUCAUUCCUAUCCGAAAUGGAUUGGGUAAUCAAGUAAUGAAAUUUCAUGCUUGGAAUCGGUAAUUGCAAUUUUAUCGUGAACGAGGAAUUCCUAGUAAGCACUAGUCAUCAGCUAAUGUUGAUUAUGUCCCUGCCCUUUGUACACACCGCCCGUCGCUACUACUGAUUGGGUGUUCAAGUGAGAUGCUUAGACCCUUGUUGCAUGGUUCAUUAUUGUGCUCCGAAAGGAAAAAGUUUCAAGCUUGAGUGUCUAGAGGAAGUAAAAGUCGUAACA